rnacentral:rRNA from 1 species
GACGAACGCUGGCGGCGUGCCUAACACAUACAAGUCAACUUGACUGAAGGAGCAAUCUGACAGUAGAGUGGCGCAAGGGUGCGUAACGCGUAAGUAACUUGCCCAAGGUAAGGAAUAACGUCGAGAAAUCGGCGCUAAUACCUCAUAAUGCAGCGGAUCCGCAUGGAUAUGUUGUUAAAAGGUUUACCGCCUUGGGAUAGGCUUGCGUCUGAUUAGUUAGUUGGUGUGGUAACGGCACACCAAGGCUACGAUCAGUAACUGGUCUGAGAGGAUGAUCAGUCACACUGGAACUGAGACACGGUCCAGACUCCUACGGGAGGCAGCAGUGAGGAAUAUUGGGCAAUGCUCGAAAGAGUGACCCAGCAACGCCGCGUGGAGGAUGAAGGUAUUCUAUAUCGUAAACUCCUGUGAGAGCAGACGAAAGACAGAUUAUAAUCUGGAUGACUGUAUGCUCAGAGGAAGCCCCGGCUAACUACGUGCCAG